UACGGGGGGAGCAAGCGUUGUCCGGAAUUAUUGGGCGUAAAGCGCACGUAGGCGGAUUUGCCAGUCAGGGGUGAAAUCCCGGGGCUCAACCUCGGAACUGCCCUUGAUACAGCAAGUCUUGAGUCCGGAAGAGGUGAGUGGAAUUCCUAGUGUAGAGGUGAAAUUCGUAGAUAUUAGGAAGAACACCAGUGGCGAAGGCGGCUCACUGGUCCGGUACUGACGCUGAGGUGCGAAAGCGUGGGGAGCAAACAGG
rnacentral:rRNA from 1 species